UACGGAGGGUGCAAGCGUUGUCCGGAUUUAUUGGGUUUAAAGGGUGCGUAGGCGGCUUUUUAAGUCAGUGGUGAAAUAUGGCAGCUCAACUGUCAGGGUGCCAUUGAUACUGCGGAGCUUGAGUACAGAUGAGGUAGGCGGAAUUGACGGUGUAGCGGUGAAAUGCUUAGAUAUCAUCAAGAACACCGAUAGCGAAGGCAGCUUACUAGGCUUUAACUGACGCUGAGGCACGAAAGCGUGGGGAGCAAAC
rnacentral:rRNA from 1 species